AUUGAACGCUGGCGGCAUGCCUAACACAUGCAAGUCGAACGGCAGCACAAUGUGUAGCAAUACACAUGGGUGGCGAGUGGCGGACGGGUGCGUAAUGUGUAGGGAUCUGCCCUGAAGUGGGGGACAACCCGGGGAAACUCGGGCCAAUACCGCAUAAUACUCUACGGAGGAAAUCUGGCUACGUAAGUAGCUGGUGCUUUAGGAUGAACCUACAUCCGAUUAGCUAGUUGGUGAGGUAAUAGCUUACCAAGGCGAUGAUCGGUAGCUGGUCUGAGAGGAUGGCCAGCCACACUGGGACUGAGACACGGCCCAGACUCCUACGGGAGGCAGCAGUGGGGAAUAUUGGACAAUGGGGGAAACCCUGAUCCAGCAAUGCCGCGUGGGUGAAGAAGGCCUUCGGGUUGUAAAGCCCUUUAGGCGGGGAAGAAGGUUCUAGGGUGAUAAGCCUUAGAGCUUGACGGUACCCGCAGAAUAAGCACCGGCUAACUCUGUGCCAGCCGCCGCCGUAA
rnacentral:rRNA from 1 species